rnacentral:rRNA from 2 species
AGAAGUGCGAAUGCUGACAUAAGUAACGAUAAAGCGGGUGAAAAGCCCGCUCGCCGGAAGACCAAGGGUUCCUGUCCAACGUUAAUCGGGGCAGGGUGAGUCGACCCCUAAGGCGAGGCCGAAAGGCGUAGUCGAUGGGAAACGGGUUAAUAUUCCCGUACUUGGUGUUACUGCGAAGGGGGGACGGAGAAGGCUAUGUUGGCCGGGCGACGGUUGUCCCGGUUUAAGCGUGUAGGUGUGUGUUCCAGGUAAAUCCGGUUCACUUUAACACUGAGGCGUGACGACGAGGCACUACGGUGCUGAAGCAACAAAUGCCCUGCUUCCAGGAAAAGCCUCUAAGCAUCAGGUAACAUCAAAUCGUACCCCAAACCGACACAGGUGGUCAGGUAGAGAAUACCAAGGCGCUUGAGAGAACUCGGGUGAAGGAACUAGGCAAAAUGGUGCCGUAACUUCGGGAGAAGGCACGCUGACACGUAGGUGAAGUGAUUUACUCAUGGAGCUGAAGUCAGUCGAAGAUACCAGCUGGCUGCAACUGUUUAUUAAAAACACAGCACUGUGCAAACACGAAAGUGGACGUAUACGGUGUGACGCCUGCCCGGUGCCGGAAGGUUAAUUGAUGGGGUCAGCGCAAGCGAAGCUCCUGAUCGAAGCCCCGGUAAACGGCGGCCGUAACUAUAACGGUCCUAAGGUAGCGAAAUUCCUUGUCGGGUAAGUUCCGACCUGCACGAAUGGCGUAAUGAUGGCCAGGCUGUCUCCACCCGAGACUCAGUGAAAUUGAACUCGCUGUGAAGAUGCAGUGUACCCGCGGCAAGACGGAAAGACCCCGUGAACCUUUACUAUAGCUUGACACUGAACAUUGAGCCUUGAUGUGUAGGAUAGGUGGGAGGCUUUGAAGUGUGGACGCCAGUCUGCAUGGAGCCGACCUUGAAAUACCACCCUUUAAUGUUUGAUGUUCUAACGUGGACCCGUUACCCGGGUUGCGGACAGUGUCUGGUGGGUAGUUUGACUGGGGCGGUCUCCUCCUAAAGAGUAACGGAGGAGCACGAAGGUUGGCUAAUCCUGGUCGGACAUCAGGAGGUUAGUGCAAUGGCAUAAGCCAGCUUGACUGCGAGCGUGACGGCGCGAGCAGGUGCGAAAGCAGGUCAUAGUGAUCCGGUGGUUCUGAAUGGAAGGGCCAUCGCUCAACGGAUAAAAGGUACUCCGGGGAUAACAGGCUGAUACCGCCCAAGAGUUCAUAUCGACGGCGGUGUUUGGCACCUCGAUGUCGGCUCAUCACAUCCUGGGGCUGAAGUAGGUCCCAAGGGUAUGGCUGUUCGCCAUUUAAAGUGGUACGCGAGCUGGGUUUAGAACGUCGUGAGACAGUUCGGUCCCUAUCUGCCGUGGGCGCUGGAGAACUGAGGGGGGCUGCUCCUAGUACGAGAGGACCGGAGUGGACGCAUCACUGGUGUUCGGGUUGUCAUGCCAAUGGCACUGCCCGGUAGCUAAAUGCGGAAGAGAUAAGUGCUGAAAGCAUCUAAGCACGAAACUUGCCCCGAG